AUUGAACGCUGGCGGAAUGCUUUACACAUGCAAGUCGAACGGCAGCACGGACUUCGGUCUGGUGGCGAGUGGCGAACGGGUGAGUAAUGUAUCGGAACGUGCCCAGUCGUGGGGGAUAACGUAGUGAAAAUUACGCUAAUACCGCAUACGAUCUAUGGAUGAAAGCGGGGGAUCGCAAGACCUCGCGCGAUUGGAGCGGCCGAUAUCAGAUUAGGUAGUUGGUGGGGUAAAGGCCCACCAAGCCAACGAUCUGUAGCUGGUCUGAGAGGACGACCAGCCACACUGGAACUGAGACACGGUCCAGACUACUACGGGAGGCAGCAGUGGGGAAUUUUGGACAAUGGGCGAAAGCCUGAUCCAGCCAUUCCGCGUGCAGGAUGAAGGCCCUCGGGUUGUAAACUGCCUUUGUACAGAACGAAAAGGUUUCUACUAAUACUAGGAGCUCAUGACGGUACUGUAAGAAUAAGCACCGGCUAACUACGUGCCAGCAGCCGCCGUAA
rnacentral:rRNA from 1 species